rnacentral:rRNA from 1 species
CCUCAGUAGUUAGAUAACAAAACUACUCGCCAGAAUACUACAAGCUAUAGCUUAAAACUCAAAGGACUUGACGGUGCUUUACACCCCCUAGAGGAGCCUGUUCCGUAAUCGAUAAACCCCGAUCCACCCCACCCUCUCUUGCUCAGCCUAUAUACCGCCAUCUUCAGCAAACCCUAAUGAGGGUCACAAAGUGAGCGCAAAUGCCAUUGCCGCAAACACGUUAGGUCAAGGUGUAGCCUAUGAGACGGUAAAAAAUGGGCUACAUUUUCUACCUCAGAAAAUUCCACGAAAACCCUUAUGAAAUUUAAGGGUCCAAGGAGGAUUUAGCAGUAAAUUAAGAAUAGAGKGCUUAAUUGAACCAGGCCAUAAAGCG